rnacentral:lncRNA from 12 species
CUUUCCUAAAUACCAAAUUCCAUUGCCCUAACAUUCUACUUCCAUUGUUUCAUCAAGUGGUCAAUUUCAUGGCCUAAGAGAGGUCAGGGAUUUUAACUGCUACUCUGGCAGAGUUUGGCAUCCAUUAUCAAGCUCUGCAUAACUCAAUCAAUAAAGUUCUAGACAACCACGGCCCACUAGGGCUUGUGUGGAUAAAGGGAUGGAAUAGAUAAGAAGAUUCUUUUUUUUUUUUUUUUUUUUUUUUUUUUAGAUAAGAAGAUUCUAUGUAGAUGCAAGGAUCUUCACAACAUGAGGAGAAGCCUGAUGUGAGAAGCUGGUUAUAAGAAGGAGAUUUAUUCCACAAAAGGUUUCAGCAUGUACUCUAUGUCCCCACAAAUUUGGAAGUGGAUUUUGUGAUUGAGCCUGUGAGACAUUGUGGUGAGGAUGUGAAAGAGAAAGUGGAGCAUCCAUCAAGGCAAAUAUAUACUUGCCCACAUAUAUGUGACAUUUGUAUAAAAUUGCUUGUUGCAAUAUACAUACAAUGGAAUUCUAUGUUGGAAUGAAAAGAUCUCGAAGACAUAUUAAGAGAAAAAAGCAAGAUGCAUAAAAUGUACAAGGUAUGCUAUCACGUAAAAACACUAUUAAAACAGAUAGAAAAAUAGUGCGUGCACAUUGGAUUGCAUAUGCAUAAAAAUCCUCUGGAAGAAUAAAUAAGAAACUAGUAGUUGUUUACA